rnacentral:rRNA from 1 species
AGGACGAACGCUGGCGGCGUGCUUAACACAUGCAAGUCGAGCGGAAAGGCCCUUCGGGGUACUCGAGCGGCGAACGGGUGAGUAACACGUGAGCAACCUGCCCUUAGCUCUGGGAUAGCUCCGGGAAAACCGGAAUUAAUACCGGAUACGACCUAGGCCGACAUCGGCCAUGGUGGAAAGUUUUUCGGCUAGGGAUGGACUCGCGGCCUAUCAGCUAGUUGGUGGGGUAAAGGCCUACCAAGGCGACGACGGGUAGCCGGCCUGAGAGGGCGACCGGCCACACUGGGACUGAGACACGGCCCAGACUCCUACGGGAGGCAGCAGUGGGGAAUCUUGCGCAAUGGGCGAAAGCCUGACGCAGCGACGCCGCGUGGGGGAUGAAGGCCUUCGGGUUGUAAACCCCUUUCAGCAGGGACGAAGCGAAAGUGACGGUACCUGCAGAAGAAGCGCCGGCUAACUACGCGCCAGCAGCCGC